UUGAAACACCCGUUCCCGUACGAUCACCAAAGUUAAGCAACGUUGAGCCUGGUCAGUACCUAGAUAGGUGACAUCAUGGGAAUAGCAGGUGCUGUAAG